rnacentral:rRNA from 1 species
AUGGCUCGCAACCAGCAGCUGAGGGUGCUGCAGGCACUGGACGUGGCGAGGACGCAGCUGUACCACUUCAUGGCGAUCGUGAUCGCCGGCAUGGGCUUCUUCACCGACGCCUACGACCUCUUCACCAUCUCCCUUGUCGCCGACCUCAUCGACCACAGGUACAACCCAGAUGCCCGGAGAGGAAACUUUAUCCCCGUCCUCAUCAACGCCGUCUCCCUCUGCGGCACUGUGCCUGGGCAGCUCGUCUUCGGCUGGCUCGGCGACAAGAUGGGCCGGAAGCGCAUAUAUGGCGUCACUCUGCUCCUCAUGGUCUUCUGCUCCCUCGCCUCCGGCUUCACCUUCGGCAAGAGCACUAACAAAAGCGUCCUGAUCACACUCUGCUUCUUCCGCUUCUGGCUCGGCUUCAGCAUCGGCGGCGACUACCCGCUAUCGGCCACCAUCAUGUCUGAGUAUGCUAACAAGAGGACACGCGGUGCCUUCAUGGCCGCUGUUUUCGCGAUGCAAGGUUUCGGAAACGUUGCGGCGGGGCUCGUUGGCACAAUCACAUCAGCAGCCUUCGUGAACUCAUCGCCAGACAAAAUUGAUUAUGUCUGGCGCAUUGUUCUCAUGUUUGGUGCCGUUCCUGCUCUCCUCACCUACUACUGGCGCAUGAAGAUGCCCGAGACAGCACGGUACACCGCCCUCAUUGCCAAGGAUGCAAAGAUGGCCGCGUCAGACAUGUCUGCUGUCCUCAACAUGCACAUCGUUCCCGAAGAAGACGGCGUCAACGAGCUCGCCAGCCAGGACCAAUAUGGCCUCUUCUCCUCGGAGUUCCUCCGCCGCCACGGGCUCCACCUCCUCAGCACCACCGUCUGCUGGUUCGUCCUUGACGUCACCUUCUACUCCCUCAACAUGUUUAUGAAGGACAUCCUUACUAAAGUCAGGCUGCUUGACAUUGACGAUGACCUUCGUAAGUUCAAGCGAACGAUGCGCAUCACUGGAGUGCACACGGCCAUCGCAGCGGCAUGUACAUUGCCAGGGUACUUCUUCGCGGUGGCCUUCAUUGACCGCAUAGGACGCGUGAAAAUCCAAUUGCUCGGCUUCACCAUGAUGACGGUCUUUCAACUUUGCCUUGCCAUCCCUUAUCCUAAAUGGCUAGAAUGCAACAGAAACAAAUAUGGAUUCGCCGUCCUGUAUGGCUUCACCUUCUUCUUCGCCAACUUUGGGCCAAAUACUACGACUUUCAUCCUUCCAGCAGAACUCUUCCCGGCACGGUUGCGCUCCACAUGCCAUGGUAUAUCAGGGGCGGUCGGGAAGAUCGGCGCCGUCGUCGGCGUGUUUGCCUUCCACUUCUUGAGGAACCAAUUCAGGGCCUUGCUGACCUUGUUGUUUGUCCUUGUUGGUUGCAAUCUAGUUGGCAUUGUGUUCACUUUUCUAUUGCCGGAAACUAAGGGAAAAUCUCUUGAGGAGAUUACUGGGGAGAUAGAACAAGGUCAGCCUCUGGAUGACACAGCUGCAGCAGUCAAUGCAGCUGACGGCAUACACAUUGUGCCUGUUUAA